CCUACGGGAGGCAGCAGUGGGGAAUAUUGGACAAUGGGGGGAACCCUGAUCCAGCGACGCCGCGUGAGUGAAGAAGUAUUUCGGUAUGUAAAGCUCUGUCAGCAGGGAAGAAAGCAAUGACGGUACCUGACCAAGAAGCCCCGGCUAACUACGUGCCAGCAGCCGCGGUAAU
rnacentral:rRNA from 1 species